rnacentral:rRNA from 1 species
UACGUAGGGUGCAGGCGUUAAUCGGAAUUACUGGGCGUAAAGCGUGCGCAGGCGGUCUUUUAAGUCAGAUGUGAAAUCCCCGGGCUUAACCUGGGAACUGCAUUUGAAACUGGCGGGCUUGAGUGUGGCAGAGGGGGGUGGAAUUCCGCGGUGUAGCAGUGAAAUGCGUAGAGAUGCGGAGGAACACCGAUGGCGAAGGCAGCCCCCUGGGCCAACACUGACGCCUCGAGG